rnacentral:rRNA from 1 species
GACGAACGCUGGCGGCGUGCUUAACACAUGCCAGUCGAACGGAAAGGCCCUGCUUUUGUGGGGUGCUCGAGUGGCGAACGGGUGAGUAACACGUGAGUAACCUGUCCUUGACUUUGGGAUAACUUCAGGAAACUGGGGCUCAUAUCGGAUAGGAGCUCCUGCUGCAUGGUGGGGGUUGGAAAGUUUCGGCGGUUGGGGAUGGUCUCGCGGCUUAUCAGCUUGUUGGUGGGGUAGUGCUGACCAAGGCUUUGACGGGUAGCCGGCCUGAGAGGGUGACCGGCCACAUUGGGACUGAGGUACGGCCCAGACGCCUACGGGAGGCAGUAGUGGGGAAUAUUGCACAAUGGGGGGAAGCCUGAUGCAGCAACGCCGCGUGCGGGAUGACGGCUUUCGGGUUGUAAACCGCUUUCGCCUGUGACGAAGCGUGAGUGACGGUAAUGGGUAAAGAAGCACCGGCUAACUACGUG